CACAGACUUAUUAUUUUACUGAAAUGAUAGAAUAUUUAAUAUCUAACAUUAUCUGUGGACCAUAGACAAGGAAACACUGCCCAUGCCAUUGUUACAUGCUCUGUGGUCAUAAUAUUGUGCGUCAUGUAUGCGUGCGCAAAAACAGGAUAAUGCUCAGCAAUUUCUGCGACUUAAACCUCAAGAGGUUAGCGUCGCAGCGCUGAUUUUCAGCAUCUCCUUGGGUGACGUAAUGGCGUCCCGCCAGCUUCACUAAUCGCCAGCGAACAAGAAUGCAAAACAACAAAACAACGAAAUGAUCAAGUAGCCGGCAUGACCUGUAAAAUACAGAUAUACCUAUAUUGACCAUAAAUGAUGGGGGAGGCUGCAGCUACGAACAACAACCUGUUGGAUACCUGUGCAUCACCAUGUUGGAAGGCCGCGACCCUUGAGGCCUCGCAUUGGUGGUGGCAGGUUGUUCCAACAGUGAGUCGCAGCAUAUUUGAAGCUCCCCCUGAAGGCCGCUGUUCUGUGCUGAGGGAUGGAUAGUGGAUUUGUAGUUGAGCGUAUGUGGUUUAUUGAACUAUGCUGUCUCCACUGUAAUUUCUCAUACAGGUACCGUGGCUUUUGGGUAGUAAUAACUCCAAACAAUAGGCCUGCCAGGUGCAAACGUCUCCGAGCUUCCAUUUUUAAAAUAUUGUUUCGAUUCGCAAAAGGGGUGACAUGGCUUCUUCGUGGUAUGUCCACACAGUAUCUUAUGCAAGCAUUUUGAACACGCUGCACCAAUCUGUUUGUUUUUGCUAGCAA